GCACCGGUUGUGUAGGGUUUGCACACGCCGCCCAAAUGUUGAACACGCCACCUUGCUGAACGGCGAAUUGGGGUUCGAUUCCCCACCGGUGCA